CCGACCUUAGCUCAGUUGGUAGAGCGGAGGACUGUAUACUGCUGAGAUCCUUAGGUCACUGGUUCGAAUCCGGUAGGUCGGA
rnacentral:tRNA from 1 species